rnacentral:tRNA from 1 species
GGAGGGGUGGCCGAGAGGCCGAAGGCGGCUGCUUGCUAAGCAGUUGAGCGGGGUAAACCCCCGCUCCGUGGGUUCGAAUCCCACCCCCUCCGCCA